GGGAUUUCUAUGAAAAUAAGCGAUAUUUAAGGUUAAAAACAGGGAUUUCUAUGAAAAUAAGCGAUAUUUAAGGUGAAAAACAGGGAUUUCUAUGAAAAUAAGCGAUAUUUAAGGUUAAAAACAGGGAUUUCUAUGAAAAUAAGCGAUAUUUAAGGUGAAAAACAGGGAUUUCUAUGAAAAUAAGCGAUAUUUAAGGUUAAAAACAGGGAUUUCUAUGAAAAUAAGCGAUAUUUAAGGUGAAAAACAGGGAUUUCUAUGAAAAUAAGCGAUAUUUAAGGUUAAAAACAGGGAUUUCUAUGAAAAUAAGCGAUAUUUAAGGUUAAAAACAGGGAUUUCUAUGAAAAUAAGCGAUAUUUAAGGUUAAAAACAGGGAUUUUUAUGAAAAUAAGCGAUAUUUAAGGUUAAAAACAGGGAUUUCUAUGAAAAUAAGCGAUAUUUAAGGUGAAAAACAGGGAUUUCUAUGAAAAUAAGCGAUAUUUAAGGUGAAAAACAGGGAUUUCCAUGAAAAUAAGCGAUAUUUAAGGUGAAAAACAGGGAUUUCCAUGAAAAUAAGCGAUAUUUCAGGGGAAAAACAGGGAUUUCUAUGAAAAUAAGAGAUAUUUAAGG